rnacentral:rRNA from 1 species
CAGUCGCCGCGGGAAUACGGAGGAUGCAAGCGUUAUCCGGAAUGAUUGGGCGUAAAGUGUCUGUAGGUGGCUUUUCAAGUCCGCCGUCAAAUCCCAGGGCUCAACCCUGGACAGGCGGUGGAAACUACCAAGCUGGAGUAUGGUAGGGGCAGAGGGAAUUUCCGGUGGAGCGGUGAAAUGCGUUGAGAUCGGAAAAAACACCAACGACGAAAGCACUCUGCUGGGCCGACACUGACACUUAGAGACGAAAGCUAGGGGAGCAAAUGGGAUUAGAUACCCGCGUAGUCCCUGUCUCUUAUAC